GCUUAGGGAAAAAGGGCAGCUGAGAAUCAGAGAGCCCGGUACGUGUGUUCCUGCUGACUGUUCUUCCCUAAACUGACAGCCAGCCCCUGUACACAGUGAUGCCAGAUGCCCCGCCCCUCUGGCACACCAUCAAACCUCACUAAUGCAAUGGAAAUGGUAAUUAUUCCCAGUCUGGAGUAUUUCACUUCCUCUGCCCUAUAGGGGCAUUAAAGCUGAUUAAACACAUAUGCUUUGGGUAGACAGCAACUCCAGUCGCAUAUGGAGCAAUCAGUCUUUUUUCCUGCUCAGUAAGACAGAGAGACCUCAUGGCCACAAAGAGCUAGUUCUGAGUUUGGGCUAGAAGAUAGGAAGUGAUUCCAAAUGCUUCAUGACAGGCAAACCACGGCAGAAAACCAACCCCCAAUUAAAAAACAAAACAAAACAAAACAAAACAAAACUUCCCAUAUUCCUGUAAUAAAAAAUCUCAGAAAUUCUGUUUUUAAGGUUCAUUUAUUUAUUUUAUGUAUAUGAUUACACUGUCACUCUCUUCAUGCACACCAGAAGAGGGCAUCGCAUCCUAUUACAGAUGUUUGUGAGCCAUCAUGUGGGUGCUGGGAACUGAACUCAGGACCUCUGGAAGAGUAGUCAGUGCUCUUAACUGCCAAGCCAUCUCUCCAGCCUGCUCAGAAAUUUUUAUUAAAGCUAGAUUUUAAUUUUAAUAAUCUGUGAUUUCCCUCUCCACUAAAAAACAUGUUUUAAUGAACAUUAGUAAGCUGUACCCAUUGGCCUUAAGUGUCGUGUUUAUGUGCAUAUGUAUGCACACGUAUGUGCUAUGAACCUGGAAGGAAGAUUUGCAGUGCAUGGCAGAUGACUCACAUGCCCUCAGGAUUCAAUUAGUCCUUAAAAAUAUAUUUGUUAAGGUGGCUUCUUCAGUCCACAACGCAUUGUUUAAUUAAUCACAGCUUGAUUCUCCUCAUCGUUGGCAUUGGGAAAUAUUAAGAAGCUAUCUAAACACACUCUGGAGUAAUUGAUUUUGAGAUAAGCCUUUGAGCUUAAUAUUUGUCCAUCCCAACUGGUCCCUCCUAGCAGUACCAGGGAGAGUAUUACUAGCCUUAGUGCCUGCUGCUGCUAUUAAGGGGAACGGGGCUCCACCUGUAUGCCAGCAGGAUGGACGCUGGAUGCUGGGUGCCAGACUGAUACCAGGAGGGAUCUGCAAUUGCAGAGUUAGGUUCUUUUGGCUGUUAGUACUGUGUUCAAUAGAAUGAAAAUCCCCCCUCUACACAGCAGGGCAUACGAAUCAUCCCUCUAAGAAGGGGAUUCAUGUAAUUGGCAUGAAAUUUCUUUUUCCUUAAUAAUAUUGGUGUACUUGUGUGUGUGUGCGUGUGCAUGUGUGUGUGUGCAUGCAUGCCUAUGCACAUGCCAUGAUGCACUUGUGAAUGUCAGAGGACAGCUUUUGGGAGUCAGUUCUUUCCUCAUUUGGGCUCCAGGGGUUGAACUCAGAACCCAUGGCAUCAGGCUCAUAAAGUAGGAGCAUUCACUGGGAGCCAUCUCUCCAGUCCUACAUAAAGAUGAAAAAUACUUUAAAUAUUAAAAUAAUAAGUAUUUAAAAAAUAAUGCCUACUUUGCCAGUAUGUGCUUUCCUACUUUAGUGUUUUGUUUUUAGAGCUUUUUGACUUAAAAACCAACUCUAGAUAAAAAUUUUUUUUAUUUAUUACGUAUUUUCCUCAAUUACAUUUCCAAUGCUAUCCCAAAAGUCCCCCAUACCCUCCCCCCCACUUCCCUACCCACCCAUUCUCAUUUUUUUGGCCCUGGCGUUCCCCUGUACUGGGGCAUAUAAAGUUUGCGUGUCCGAUGGGCCUCUCUUUCCAGUGAUGGCCAACUAGGCCAUCUUUUGAUACAUAUGCAGCUAGAGACAAGAGCUCCGGGGUACUGGUUAGUUCAUAAUGUUGUUGCACCUGCAGGGUUGCAGAUUAUGAUGUGUAUUUUAUUGUAAUUUAUUAAUAUUUGAGGAAAAUUGUUAAAAUAACCCACUCUUUCCUUCAGAGUAAUAAGUGCCCAUAUUUGAGUAUCGUUUCCUUUUUGUAUCUGUAACUGCUGGGCAGAGUUAGAAUUAAAAGAAUUUAUCUUUUUUUUAAAUUUAUUUUAUUUUUGAAAUUUAUAAUUUGAUUACAGCAUUUUCCUCUUUCCUUUCCUUGUCCCUAAUCUUCCUGUAUACCCCUCUCCACUCUCCUUCAAAUUCAUGGCCUCCUUUUUAAAAAAAAUUAUUAUUGUAUACAUAUACAUAUAUAUAUAUAAUCUCUUAAGUACAAAUUGUUCAUUCCAAACAAUGCUACUGAAUAAUGCUAUUGUAUGUUUUUCAGGGCUGAUGGUUUGGAACUGAACAACCAGUUGGAGUGCUCUUCCCUGGGAAGGACCACCUCUCCCAGCCUUCAUCAGUUGCCUGUGGUUCUUUAUGUAGGGCUGAGGCCUCCUGGGCCUUUCUCUUUCCUGUUUGGCGUAUUGCCUGGUAUCAUCAUUGUUCAGCUUAUAUAUGAAUUGUCAUGGGUGAUCUAUCUUUGUAUCUAUGUAUCUAUGUAUGUAUGUAUGUAUGUAUGUAUGUAUGUAUGUAUGUAUCUAUCUAUCUAUCUAUCUAUCUAUCUAUCUAUCUAUCUAUCUAUCUAUCUAUCUAUAGAUAUAUAUCAUACAUCGACCAGUAAAGUAUGUAUGUGUAUGUAUACACACACACAUUAUGGGUAUAGCUUCUGAUAUUACUAGGAAACACAAUCUCACAGCAAAGUUUCCGAUCUUCAACCUCUUACAGUCUUCCUGUUCCCUCUUCCACAAUGUUUCCUGAGCCUUAUCUGUGGAAGUAUCUUAUAGAUGUAUCCAUUGGGACAGGGCUCCACAACUCUGCAUUUUGAUUAUUUGUGGAUUCCUGAAAUGGUUUGUUGCAAAGAGAACUUUCCUCGAUGAACGAAUGAACGAACGAACGCUACACUUCAUUUGUGAAUGUAAGGACAAAUGUGUAUAGAUUAUUGUUAGGUAUUAUGUUAGUUUAGUAAAUGAGUGAUUGUAGAUUCUCCUCCUUUUUGAAAUAUAAGAAUUUUAGGGCCUGGAGUGAUGGCUUGGCAGUUGAGAGCAUUUGAUGCUCUUACCGAGGACUUAGCACCCACAAGGCAGCUCAAAGUCACCUGUAACUUCAGUUCAAGGAGAUUUGACAUCCCAUUCUGGCCUCCGUAGGUUCCAGGCAUUUGUGUGGUACACAGAUAUACAGGCAGGCAAACAGUCAUACAUGUAAAAUAAAAUAAAAAAUUGGAAAGUAGGCAUUUUCUCAUGUCUGAAGCAAUAUUUUCAAAUACAAAUUUUGAAGGUUUAGUACACAGCUUAUAUUUCAACAUAAUAUUUUUUCUUUCUUUUUUUUUUCCAUUUUUUAUUAGGUAUUUAGCUCAUUUACAUUUCCAAUGCUAUACCAAAAGUCCCCCAUACCCACCCACCCCCACUCCCCUACCCACCCACUCCCCCUUUUUGGCCCUGGCUUUCCCCUGUACUGGGGCAUAUAAAGUUUGCAAGUCCAAUGGGCCUCUCUUUCCAGUGAUGGCCGACUAGGCCAUCUUUUGAUACAUAUGCAGCUAGAGUCAAGAGCUCCGGGGUACUGGUUAGUUCAUAAUGUUGUUCCACCUAUAGGGUUGCAGAUCCCUUUAGCGCCAAAGAUAUUCCUACUGGACAAUUUGGAAAAUAAGGAUAGAUGUUAAGAAUAAAACUCACACAAGAGUCCAUCAUGUGACAAGCUAUUUGUAUUUCUAUACGUAUAUGGAAUGCAUGUAUGAAAGUAUAGAUAUAUUAAUAAAUAUUCUAGAAAUAUAUGUGUUGAUUAUAUAUGUAGAUAUGUUAAAUUUUGAAAAACAUUAGAUUUAAUUUAAUUGAUAUUUUUUAAAUUAUAGUUUUUCUAUUAUU
rnacentral:lncRNA from 1 species